CAUAUAUUUAUGCUAUAUUACUAGUUUCCCUUUCAUUCUAAAUACAAUUCAUCCAAUUACAGUGACCGCGAGUGCUAAGCACACUGAAGAAAGCUGGAAGAGUGUCUAUACGAUCCUGCAGUUCAGCUCGAUCCUGAUGAAAUUGCGCAGAUGGUCAUCAGAGUUUUCUAUGAAGACCCCAUUGGUGCGAGCCUGUUGCAGAUUACUCACUGUCUCCAGAACAGCGCAGUGCUCCGACACUGAAUUGAGCCUCUGAGCCUGGGCGGAUUGUGUCUCCGACUACAACCCUCCUGACAGGCAGAUGGUCCCGGAACAUCAGUGUGGUUUUUUGCUGAGCAGGACAUCCUCCAUAUCUCUGUCAGGCAGCACUGAGGAUCAUGUUCUCGAGUGUUUCAACACCACACCAUACAGCCUGAGAGAGAGCUGAAACUCCAGCUGAUGCAGAACAGCAGACUUUACAGAGACCCACCGUGAAUCUUUCAGCCUAGAGAACAGCUGCUAAAACAACACGCCCCGUCUCUGGGUUUAUUGGACAAAUAAACAAAUAAACAGUCGACCAUACGGCCUGACCAGCUGCCUGUCGUCUGAUGCUUUGGUGAAAAACCCUCAAAGCCUCUCAGUCAGACUAUUUCACAAACCACACUGAUGUUUCCUCUAAUCUGUAGAAUUAAUCCACAUUAAUACUCCAAGGGAUCACUGGAAUUAAAAAACACACCAUGUUUAUAGACAAUU